AUGUAUUAGGAAUUGGAAUUAUGUCUAUGGAUGUCUUGGGUGACUUACAUAAUCCUUUGGAUCUGAUAGAGUUGUAUAUCAUUGUGUUUGUUACUGACUGUGACAAAAUCAAGAUUUCUCACUACUAACUCGUUCUAGAAAACCGUAAUUGAAACCAUAAAAACCCUUUUAGAAAAAUUAAUUUCAACCCCUAAAGACCAAAAAUUAUCUUGAAUUUUAUUUAAAGAGAAAUUCAUCUGCACCAAAAAAAUCCACCAGUAGCAGCACAUUCAACCAUCACUACCAACUCCAUCUACAUACUUACUUACAUCAAACGCUCAAACCACCACCAACACUGUUUUUGUUUUUGAGAAGAGAAUAGGAAUACACAGAUGUGAUUAUGGAUGGAGAGGUUAAUUCUUAUUUUUCAAUUUAAAAUUAUGUUUUUGAAGUUCAAGGAUUAAUAAAGCAUCAAAAACAUGUUAUUCAAUAAUUUCUAUUGAUCUUUGUCGGUGAGAUCCUCUUCAAGUGUUAGAACCACCUCCACCAACAAAAACGUAAAAACCAUCGAUAAUCGAACCUAAUCCCUUUCUGAGAAAUGGGUUCAAGAAAUUAUUCAUCAAUUUUAAUCUUUUCUUUUUGUACUUGAUUGGGGAAGAACUAGAAGAUGUAGAUUGUAAGUAGAGAGAGGAAAGGAAACAGGGAAAAAAAAAGAUUGAGAUUGAAGACUUCACUGAAAAAUGGCGUGGUUUUGAAGACUUUGUACAGCUCAUCUGGCACAUCAGACAGGGAGGAGAGUAGGGAGGAAAAGGAGGAGCGGAAUAACAUUUCCAUUUUUAAUCCUUGAAAAACUAAAGUGAAAGAUAAAUGUAAUUAUCUGUACCAACCGAAAGAAAGCUUAUUAUAGGGAAACUUAAGUAUUUUGUGUUACCUAGCGUUUUCUCUCUUAAACUUUGAUUUUAAUUUCAUCACAAUUACAUCGUGUUUAAUCAAUGUUUCAUCAAAAAAUUCCAAAUUGCUUAUGUUGUAUUAAGUUUGAAGUAUCAAACUUUGAUGCAAUCGCUUCUAUUACAAAAGUUGGAAUUUUCAAUUUCUUCACUUUGACCUGAAUUCGAUCAAAUUUGUUCUCAUCUUCUUUCAAUAAUCCUAUAAUAUCACCAUAUUUUCCUUCAACUUCUAGUUUUUCCAAUUUAAGUUCUUCAUUAACGGUUAUAUUGUAUUAUUCCCAAAUUUCAUUGUUUGGGACAAUUUUCACACACAUAUAUGUGCAUCCAUCUCAAAAUGAAGUAAAAAUGGACAAUUUCGUUUCUGCUAGCCCAGAUUGACCAACACAUACAAGCUAUCAUUGGGUAUAUUUCACUUCUAUUGGAAUCAUCUUGAUAGGGAGUCAGCUGUAACCAGUAUCUUAUCCACUCAUUAAAGAUAUUCUCUAUGGCCAACAAAUGUAGCUUCCUCUUUUUUGACUUUGGAUCUUCUCCCCACCAAUAUCUGUUCAGAAUUGUUCUUCCUGCUUGAGAGAGAAAGUGGGUUAGCCAACUACUUGCCCUUUUCUCAAUAGCAGUGAGAAGAGAUAAGUGAGUCUGAGUUUUGGAUUUAAGGGUGUUAACUGGUGCCCUAAAUAUUUUUCUCCAAGAUGUAAGUUCGAAAUGCCAAGAAUUUUGGCUAGUAAUCUUUUGUGUCUUGGAUGUACAUUUUUGCUUAGCAGCAAAUCAGACUUGUUAAAAUUGAUUUCUUGUCCACUUGCAUUGUAGUACUUCUAGAAAUAAUUCUUUGUAGCGUGGAAUUCAGGUA